rnacentral:rRNA from 1 species
UACGUAGGGGGCGAGCGUUGUCCGGAAUUAUUGGGCGUAAAGAGCGUGUAGGCUGUUCGGUAAGUCUGCCGUGAAAACCUGAGGCUCAACCUCGGGCGUGCGGUGGAUACUGCCGGGCUAGAGGACGGUAGAGGCGAGUGGAAUUCCUGGUGUAGCGGUGAAAUGCGCAGAUAUCAGGAGGAACACCAAUGGCGAAGGCAGCUCGCUGGGACGGUACUGACGCUGAGACGCGAAAGCGUGGGGAGCAAACAGG